rnacentral:rRNA from 1 species
AGUGAACGCUGGCGGUAGGCCUAACCCAUGCAAGUCGAACGGCAGCACAGUAAGAGCUUGCUCUUACGGGUGGCGAGUGGCGGACGGGUGAGGAAUACAUCGGAAUCUACUUUUUCGUGGGGGAUAACGUAGGGAAACUUACGCUAAUACCGCAUACGACCUACGGGUGAAAGCAGGGGAUCUUCGGACCUUGCGCGAUUGAAUGAGCCGAUGUCGGAUUAGCUAGUUGGCGGGGUAAAGGCCCACCAAGGCGACGAUCCGUAGCUGGUCUGAGAGGAUGAUCAGCCAAACUGGAACUGAGACACGGUCCAGACUCCCACGGGAGGCAGCAGUGGGGAAUAUUGGACAAUGGGCGCAAGCCUGAUCCAGCCAUACCGCGUGGGUGAAGAAGGCCUUCGGGUUGUAAAGCCCUUUUGUUGGGAAAGAAAAGCAGCAGGUUAAUACCCCGCUGUUCUGACGGUACCCAAAGAAUAAGCACCGGCUAACUUCGUG